GUGUUUCUCUGUGUGUGUGAAGAGUAUGAAUGCAUCGUGAGGGAGAACUGUGUAGGGGUGAUGCAGAAACAUGUGUACUCCACUGUGCACUUCAGGUGGGCCUGAUCCGAGUCGAAGUCUGGUCUGUACUUCAGUGAUUGUGCGGAGAAAGACCCGAGUUCAGCAGGUCAGGACGAUGAGGCGGCCAAGAGACUGUGGGAGGUCAGCAAGGAGAUGGUGGAACUUAAACAGUAAUAACCACUGAGAGUGGCAAAAUGACAGAAGACAAUUGUACGGAAGACCAAUGUUGUGUGAGAGCACACUUUUAGGAAUACUGUAUUCUAUUUUCAAAUUUCAGGUGGGCCAGUCUGAUCUUAGGCCGAGACAAAUCGAGGUCAUGUGAAAAAGCUAAAGGAAACACUAUCAUUUCCUCACUUCCAAAUGGUAUCUUACCUGUAACAAUACAAUUCUAGCUUAAGACGUCUUCCACAACAGCCUCCUCUCAGUUUACAAGUACUGUAGUGGUGUUUCAUUUAGGAGAAACUUCUCAUUUGCGAUGAACUUCUCUACCAUUUAUCAAGAUACAACCAUAAUCCUCAGGUAACUGACAUCUAUGAUCUAUCUUACUUCAACCACCUCUCGAUAAGACAGCCAGAGCAGCAUAGUUCUCCUGUAGAAUUUUAUUGUGCCUGUCAGUGUCACUAUGAUUGUGGUCAAUAAUGUAGUUCCUCAUAAGAAAUUAUGCUGUUCCAGUGUCAACAAUGUUGAUUGAAAUGAAUGUCAUCUAACCAUUGUACAAUAUACCAGCUUAGAGCCUACCUUGCAGCUUUUUUAGUUAUCAUUUGGCUGAUGCUGAGAGAAAUUAACAAAUGAAGUGUGUUGACUAACAAAUGUUGAGUUAUCUAUGAAAAGAUUUAAUUAGAUUGUGAUUAUAUUAAAGAAGUCUGAUAUUCUUCUCAAUGUCAUAACAAUACCAGGAAUGUGACCACUUGUCGGAAGAAUCGUUACGAUUUUAAUGUUCAAUAGUUGGCUGAUGCGAUAAAACAUUUCAAUAUUACAGGUACCAGUGAUGUACAUACUUUCUUGCAACCACAAAUGAAUUCACAAAAAAAUUUGGUCAUUUUAUUGUAUCUUUUCCCUUUCAUUUGAGUGUAUAUAACAAAUAAGUAUAGACCUUGUCUAAAAAUUUUACCCAGUGGUGCUGCUUGUUAGAUUUUCAUGGAAUAAACUGUCAUGGAGCCUCAACAAAUGAAAUGGUCACAAUAAAUAGCAGACAUUGCACGGGCCGACCACUCUCCUUUUGCAACCAGGGGCUAAAUUGUGAGGAGCUCACAAUAGGCAGGGCUAAAUUGUAAGGGUCUGGAGCUACUGCCAUUCAGUACUAACUCAGGUGAGAGGAAGACUGGACUUUUUUGUUCUUUCUACAGACCAAUCCUGUCCAUCUCACGUACACAUAUCAGUUCAACCAAUGUGAGUUUGGCUGCAUAACUGUCAAACUUUUGGAAAUUUUACGUUCUUCUUUUGCAUUUCUAUGUUUUGAUGAAGGUAGGCUGGGCUAUGACUAUUGUACAGAUAACUGCUUCAGUCCAAUGGACUUUUCUUAUAAUAACAACAAUUUCUCUGCUCCUCUGUACAAUUUGGUUACAUCUCCCACAACAGUGAAUAGUUUUGUGUCCUGGGAAAAUAAUAAACCACUAAAAAAAUCAUGUCACAAAUCCUUGCAUGCCUCUAACUUCUAUGUUACUGUGUGGAAAGUUUUAUCAAGGUUUGUUUUAAUCAAAAAUGGAGAAUGAUAAUGACCACCAAGUGUAAGUAGGUAUUUUAUUGGUACCAUAUACUAUUACUACAGGCACUAUUUCCUGUUACAGUGGCUGUCAAAUAAAACUCUUGACAACAGUCAAACUUUACACAAAUACGUAGCCACGUACCGUACAACGUUAUUCAUGUCAGACACCAUUUUUACUCCAGCUGAAGUUUUCCUCCAUAGCAAAAUACAAAAACACAGGGUUUUUUUUGCCGGACAUUGAGUAUAAAACAAACUGUUGUUGCAUUGUUAAGAUUACUGUUAUGAUAUAUUUUAGGUACAACACAAUGUACAUUUCACUGUGAGAAACAACACAGAAUUACGGUAACAUACAUACUGGGGAAAACCCUGUUAUAUCUACGUUAAGUUUGGGACAUGGUAGUACCAAUAAACUCUAUCUUCACAGAAACAUAGGGCUGACAAUGUUAAAUACAUAAAGCUUCCCCUGCUUUUCACGAUAUCUACAGAGUUCAACGUUGGCAUGGGAAUAUUCAGCUGACAGAUGCUGCAGAACAGAAAGCAGCCCUCAAAGUUACAUUGUUGAAUGAUCGUCUGACUGUGUGUCGUGCUUGCUACAAGAAGUGCUUAAUACAUUCGGAGCACCAGUGCACAGUCUGAUCUUCUAACACAUGAUCUUAAACCACUCAGCAUGGCAGUGAAAGAGCAAAAA